UAACUUCUGGUGUUGAUACGUGGAGAGGG
rnacentral:piRNA from 1 species